CCUGAACACAGACCCACACAGGGCAGUUUAGUAAAAACAUUCAGUGAUGAUACAUGUUGUGACCAAUCACUCUGAUAUUCAAUUGCUUUAUGCAAAAAUUACACGAUUUACGAUUCACACAAAUCAAACCAUAGCACACCGCACACACACGCACACACAUAAUAGCACAAUAAUCGUUGUCAUAGUUAAAUAUUCUAUAUUUACCCAGCGGGAAAAUAAAAUAUAAAUACUAUGGCUUUCGACUGGUGUGUGUCUUGAGCAGUUGAGUAUAUUAUACUCGUUUACACAACUAAUCGAAUUUAAUUUUUAAACAUUAUUCAAUUGUUAUUUAUUGAUAAGUAAUCAAUAGAUUUAAUUUUUUUUUCAAUAAGUUUCAUUAAUCAUUUCUUUAAAUAAUGUAAAUGUAAACACGUUAAAGUCACCAAUUUAACUUCGUCUUGCCAAAAAUAUUUAAAUAUAUAAUUUUAAACAUAUUUUUAACACUAUUUGAAUAAAUGUGAACAUGCGUUGUUUUAAAUUUUCAAAUAUAUUUUUAUUUAACAAUUUUUUUUAACUUUUUAACUAUUCAAUAAUUAAAUUACUAAAUUUUACAUAAAAAUGUUAAAGCAAUAGCAUUUUUAAAUAACUACCUAUUACAAUAUGACAUUAUAAUUUAAGAUUCUUAAAAGCUGAUUUUUUGAUACCUAAUGUAGAUUUAACUUAUCUAUGAUUUAAUAUGAAUUAAUUUUUUGUCUCAAUAAUAAUUAAUUUUAAUAUACCGAAAUGUAUAUUUUAAACAUAUUUUAAUUUAAUUUUCAAGAAUUUGACGAGGUGAAGUUAAUUAAAAUAUUGACCGAAACGCAUUUUAAAUUCACAACGUUUGGAGUCUUAGGUACUGACGGCAAGAGGAACACUACAGCGCCCAAUGCCCUAUCAUGACUGAAGGAAGGAUGGGAGAGAUAUUAUGCGAUGGCGUGAGUGAAGCGAGUGCAUGGCAUUCAGUCCUUGUAUUCUAUCCAGUUUUAUAUUUUAUACUAUUAUCGAGGACAAUUUCUUUGCACAGUAAAAUCGAUCAGAGACGAUUUCUAUUCGGAAGCGGCAGUAUUUCAAACCGUACAAAAGAAAAUAAAACGGGGAGAUGAACGUAGCAAGUCGAAUGUCAGGAGCUCGCGGUGGUCGACUGGACUCGGCGGCUGUUGCUUAGACGUCGUAGACGGCGUUGUUGUCCUUUGAUGCACCAGCUGCUCUAGUGGGCUGGUCUCGUGCUACUUGUUGAUUCUCUUCUGCCCGAUAGCCGUUUUGCCAGAAGCAGUAUACGGAGUGCAUAAUAGCAACAUAAAACACCAUGUCCAACAUUGUGAGAGACCGAACUGGCUGCUACUACUCCACCACGUCAAUUUCAAAUCGCGUCUCGCAGUGUAAUGCCAGUCGACUCGACGCUGCAGAUCAGAGCUCGCACACCGACGACCUUGUACCCCGUGGUCGAGGGUUUCCGGCGGCGGACCAACCGCAGUUGUUGUGGGUGUGUCUCUGCCUCGGUGGUGCUCGCCGUUUCCCCGCAUCCGGCCGGGGGACCCGCUGCAACCCUCUCUCUACCACCGAGCCGGGUCUACCCCGAGCUACCUAUAAGAGACGCGCGUUCGGCACAGCCAGACUUGAUGUGGCCUAAUACGCAUACGCGUGAACUGCUGCAAUAUUCACCGAAAUCUAAAAAUAACACUAUCUCGAGCCAGCGGUGGAGGUGUAUGGUGAUGGUGGUCUGUGGGGUCGGUGGUGUGUGGUGGAGGUGCGUUUUUGGAGGUGGUAGUGGAGGUGACGGCCGGCGGCCGGUAGGGACGUGGGCAUGACGAGGGGAGGGUUCAAUCUUUGACUAACGUCGCCGUCUCCGUCGCCGCCGCCGCCACCGCUGACACGGCGACGACAACGACGACGCACGCACGAUGAUGUAUACAUUUAGGAAAUUGAGUGUCGGUCAAGAGAAUCUUUUUUAUAAUAACAUCGUCUGUGUGUGCCGAUAACCUCUUUAUAUUAAAUAUAUAUAUUUUUUUUUUCUCUCGCAUAAUAUAAUAUUAUGUGUGUUUGUGUACACACUUUGAAGACCGAACCGGCACUAAUAUAUUAUUAUAUAUCUUACCGAAUUGGCUUUUCGCUUUUCCCGGUACGUUCGCCAGACUACCGUCGCCACCUUGUAGGUUAAUCCCCGUUUAUGCAUCUGUAUGAUUGCGUCUGGUGUUCCUGUAUUCCCCACACAUAUACGUGUAUUAUGUUAUACGUUUACCUCGCGCAUUCGUAAUCAGAAAACAAACUGUUAGGUAUUUGUUUCGUAGAAAUCUUCUGUGAACUUGAAACGAACGGUUCCCGGUAUUAUAAAAUAUAUAAUAUAUGUACACGCACACGAUGAUAUUAUGUUUUUUCGCUGCAUCCCAAAUCGGAAAUUCUCACCGCGCUCUUUUUUACUCAAUUUUCGUCGGUUGCCUUAUCCUUCGAACGUAAUAUUCACCGCAUCUAAUGUAUUUUAUUUGAGCUUUUAUAUUACUUAUGCACAUUUUUUUUUUUUUUUUUUUUAAUGUAUUUUUCAUUGAUUUAGUAAAUACACGAAAACGCCAAACGGAGGUUUGUCUCCCGCCAAAUAAAAUAUAAUUUGUAAAUUCGACUACUUUUAGAGUACUUGGUAUCUAAUAAUGGGUGUGUAUUUCAUAAUAAUAUUAACAUGAGUAUAUAUUUGUUUUUAAAGUGUUAGAGAUUUAUGUAUUUUGAUAAAACAUUAAAAUAAAUAUUUAGUGAAAUAGAUAAUUUAAAUAAAAAACUAAAAAUUAAGUACCCAUAUUAAAGUUGUACCGUAAUAGUAGAACAUAUCGGAAAAUUAAAAGUUGAUAAAUUAUGCCCGAAUAAUAGAAAAAUGUUAUUAUCAUAAUUAAUUUGUACAAAUAGUUUUAUUAAGUUAGUAUGUCAAUGAUUUUUUUUUCAACAUUAGGUAUAACGAUUUAGUAUACUUUUGUGGUAGGUAUAGUGUAAUAAUAUGAUUUUUCAGAGUAAUUAAAAAGUUAAACAUUUUUAUUAAAUUGAAAAAAAUACCAAGCAAAAUUUAAUCGGUAAUAUUUAAUACAAUCAUAUAACAAGAUUAAUUAUUAUUUUAUUACAAUUCGUAGAAAAUGCAGAAUGUAUGAUAUUAUUAAUGUGAUAUUAACCGAUAUUUGAAUAUCAUUGCUUUAUUUUUAUAGUAUGAGAAGAAUUUAUGUUGGUACAGUAUUUAAGUAAGCCUAAGUAUAAUUUGAAUGAAUGAGUUAAAUUUACUUAAAUUUUACUAUUUGGAUUAAACAAAUCAAUAAGUCAGUAGGUACUCUAAAUGUUUUUAUCACUGUGAUACUGAUUUUCUAUAAAUUAAAUUGUCUUUAAAUGUGUACGAAUAUAUUUUAAUUUAAUAAAAAUAUAUUACAUUUUUUUUUAAAGGAAAUAAUUUUUGUUGGUGUAGCUUGUAACAAAUUAAAACAAAAAAUUAUAAUAUAAAAUACUUGCUAAAAGCACAAUUAUUAUUAUUAAUAUUUUAAUACUAUUUCCAUCAAUUAUUGAACAAGAAAUUAUACAUUUUGCCUAUACAUUACGCCGUAUUAAAUUUAAUAUUAAAAACUUCAUAGAAGAAAUUUAUAUCUUUAGUAGCUUGUUGCUUCACGUAUCUAAAUGCGGGAUAUAAUAUGAGAUGUAUUAUUAUUAUAAAGUCAAAAGAAACUAGUAUAUUUUUAUAACUAUACAUUUGUUCAAAAAUAAUUUUAACUGAAACUUGAUUUUCUAAAAUAUUUAUAUGAUAUUUUUAAGUACAUAAUAUUUUGUGCAUAGAAAUUAAAUAAUUUACUUACUUGAAAAUUAUUUCGAUGAUUCAUUACUAUUUUAUUUUUCUAUAACUUUAAUAUGAUUAUUGCAUAUUGUUAAUUUUGCGUUGUUAUGUUAGAAUGUGUAUUUAUAACUACAAACAUUUAUUUUCGAUUUUAAAAGUUGCUGUAUGCCUGUAUUGAAUGUUUGGAACUUUUAUUUCACUUUAAAUAGUUGUUAUAAUAUUAUAGCUAUAUAUGUGUAAUUUUUACUACUAAAUAUACAUAAAAUAACUGCGAAUUUAUAAUCUAAAUAUAUCAUUAGGUAUACGGUUUCAUAGCAAAAUACGUUAUUUAUUUAAAUUAUAAACUUAUCAUACAGAAGUAUUU